GGUGAGAUGGCCGAGCGGUCUAAGGCGCCAGACUAAGGAUCAGGGUAGUUGCUACCCAAGAGGGGGAUGUCCCUCUUCUAUCUGGUCCUCCGGGGCGUGGGUUCGAAUCCCACUCUCAUCA